rnacentral:rRNA from 1 species
AUGAUCCAAUCGCCGCCGGACCUCCGCCUGAAUCGGGACGUCACCACCGCACCACCAUUCGCGGCCACCUCCGCCUCCUACCUCCGGCGACCACCUCCGCCGCGGCCCAUCAUCACGACCACCUCCCUCCGCAGCCACCACACCGACCACCUCCUUCGCAGCCGAUGCCCCGACCACAUCCUCCGCCGUGCUCGGCUCCGACCAGCUCUGCCGGUCGCCGCCGCCCUCCGCCCCAACCACCUCCGUCGCGCCUUGCCCAUCUCCUUUGGCCCGACCUGCUCUUCCCCUCUGGCGCGACCUGCUCUUCCCCUCUCGCGCGACCUGCCCUUCCUUCGGCCGCUACCUCCCUCCUCCGGCGUGAUCCCCUCUCAGCGCGACCCUGUCCUUCCAUCCAUCUGCAAGCAAGAUUUAGCACCUCCGGUGCCGCUGUCCUCCCAUCCAUCUAGACGUCGCAUCCACGGCCUCAAAAACAUUGAAUCCCGGUGCCAUCUCGCGCCGACGGUGCCGCUGCACCAGGCCUCCGGCGCCAGCCGCGGAUCCUGUGCGCCGCCGCUUGGAUCUGGAUCCCGCCCGCUGCCUCGUACGGCGCAAGGUCACGCCCUCCUCCUCUGGCGUGCAGCCGCCUCCUCCGGCGUGCAGCCGCCCCCGCCUCCUCCUCCGGCGCGACGCCACCCCCGCAUCCUCCUACGCGCCGCCGCACAACUCCUCCCGAUGGAGCCCCACCGCCGCAGCACUCAGGGCAUUCGGUCGCUGCGGGCGCCACCCCCAUCCCACCUCCUCACGGGCGCUGCGGCCGCCGCCGAUCCAUUCCUUGCGCUGAGCACGCUAACCCUGUAG